ACGUCAAAGCGUUCAUUAAAGUCGAGUUGGCUUAGGGAUACGUUCGUUGGGUAGGGGAGCGUUCUGUAAGCCGUUGAAGGUGGCCUGUGAGGGUUGCUGGAGGUAUCAGAAGUGCGAAUGCUGACAUAAGUAACGAUAAAGCGGGUGAAAAGCCCGCUCGCCGGAAGACCAAGGGUUCCUGUCCAACGUUAAUCGGGGCAGGGUGAGUCGACCCCUAAGGCGAGGCCGAAAGGCGUAGUCGAUGGGAAACGGGUUAAUAUUCCCGUACUUGGUGUUACUGCGAAGGGGGGACGGAGAAGGCUAUGUUGGCCGGGCGACGGUUGUCCCGGUUUAAGCGUGUAGGUGUGUGUUCCAGGUAAAUCCGGUUCACUUUAACACUGAGGCGUGACGACGAGGCACUACGGUGCUGAAGCAACAAAUGCCCUGCUUCCAGGAAAAGCCUCUAAGCAUCAGGUAACAUCAAAUCGUACCCCAAACCGACACAGGUGGUCAGGUAGAGAAUACCAAGGCGCUUGAGAGAACUCGGGUGAAGGAACUAGGCAAAAUGGUGCCGUAACUUCGGGAGAAGGCACGCUGACACGUAGGUGAAGUGAUUUACUCAUGGAGCUGAAGUCAGUCGAAGAUACCAGCUGGCUGCAACUGUUUAUUAAAAACACAGCACUGUGCAAACACGAAAGUGGACGUAUACGGUGUGACGCCUGCCCGGUGCCGGAAGGUUAAUUGAUGGGGUCAGCGCAAGCGAAGCUCCUGAUCGAAGCCCCGGUAAACGGCGGCCGUAACUAUAACGGUCCUAAGGUAGCGAAAUUCCUUGUCGGGUAAGUUCCGACCUGCACGAAUGGCGUAAUGAUGGCCAGGCUGUCUCCACCCGAGACUCAGUGAAAUUGAACUCGCUGUGAAGAUGCAGUGUACCCGCGGCAAGACGGAAAGACCCCGUGAACCUUUACUAUAGCUUGACACUGAACAUUGAGCCUUGAUGUGUAG
rnacentral:rRNA from 1 species